UACGUAGGGUGCAAGCGUUGUCCGGAAUUAUUGGGCGUAAAGGGCUCGUAGGCGGUCUGUCACGUCGGGAGUGAAAACUCAGGGCUUAACCCUGAGCUUGCAGUGGGUACGGGCAGACUAGAGUGCGGUAGGGGAGACUGGAAUUCCUGGUGUAGCGGUGGAAUGCGCAGAUAUCAGGAGGAACACCGAUGGCGAAGGCAGAUCUCUGGGCCGUAACUGACGCUGAGGAGCGAAAGCAUGGGGAGCGAACAGG
rnacentral:rRNA from 1 species